rnacentral:RNase_MRP_RNA from 1 species
UCCGCGUUCAAAGAAUCGCAUUCAAAGCUCACGCACAGCCGAUGGAGAUUAUCUCCCCUUGUCUUUCCUUCACGGGUUCGAUGAGGGGAGGUUUGUUCUCCGUCAGGCAUACCAACUUGGCUUUGGGAGAAAGUCCCCGGACCACCCUACCUUUUCUGGGCGAGAUUCCAUCUCCCCCCAGAAAGAACGUCAGGACUUGCCGCGAGGCUCUGCCGCCAUAAAAGCAUUCUUCACCGCGGUAUCUUUGUUUUUUCCUCUGCCUCUCACUCUUUUCCCUCCGGGACCGCCCGGGCCUCCGACCUUGUCUUGUCGUUAUUCACAUUCCACUGGCGAUGUUUGCCGGAUCUCUCCCCCCCUCCUCCUUGUUUCUUUCUUUCUUCGGAAGGAAAAAACGGUCGGCCGUGCUUGACGCUGUAGAGGGUGGCGUCUGGGAUUGGAUGAAGAUACCGAGUCCGUCCCCUUUGUUGGGUUUCGGCUAGACGCUUCUCCUCGACGCCGAACGCCGGCUGGCUUGGUGUUGGGGGGGUUUUUUUUCCUGGCACGUCACAGUGGAAGAGAUGGCGAGGGAUCACAUUGGGAGUAUUUGCGCCCGGGCGGGACCGUUUUCGGGGGGGAUGUCAAGAGUGGUAGAAGGUUGCGCAAUUCGUCACACGAGUACAGUUAUGCGAUUGCUCUGUCACUUGGGUUUGCCCCCUUUUUUCCCUUCUGUUUCCGUUUCGCACGGAGACAAAAGAAGAAGAAGGGAACAAAAACCGAGACGGGAGAGUAACUCGACGGGGCUUAUUCUUGAGGCGCGG